UCCAUCUAGGCAGGGUUUGGGGCCCAGGACACUCAGUUAAGGGUCCAGUUUUAGCUCCUUCAGCAGAGCUGGCUGGCUGAAAGUAUCAUGAUCUUGGGCCAACAGAGGGAGUCUACGGUCAAUUCUGGCAUGUUGAAGUGGCCUUGAGAAAACAAAAAAACAUGGUAAAUAUGAAAUUACUUCAGAGUGACUGGCAAACUUGGUACAAGCAGCCCAUGGGUGUUGCGGACCCUCCACAGUAUUUCUGGACAAAUUCACUACUUACCCAAAGUCCUUGUGAGCUUCGUGGACUUUAUUGGAGACUGUCUAUGGGAGAGAAGAUGGAUGAGGUGAGGCAUUGGGAAGGGUUGAUAGAAGAGAAGAAGAGGCAGAGACAGACACACACAGAGGAGCACACCAUGUGAAGACACAGACACAAGAACGUCACGUGGGAACAGAGGCAGAGCCUGGAGUGAUGCUUCUACAGCCAAAGAACAGCAAGGAUUGCCAGCAACACUGGGAGCUGAGAAAAAGACCUGGAACACAUUCUCCCCUGGAGUCUUCAGAGAGACUGUGGCCUUGCCGAC
rnacentral:lncRNA from 1 species